rnacentral:rRNA from 1 species
CCUACGGGAGGCAGCAGUGGGGAAUUUUGGACAAUGGGCGCAAGCCUGAUCCAGCAAUGCCGCGUGAGUGAAGAAGGCCUUCGGGUUGUAAAGCUCUUUUGUCAGGGAAGAAACGGUCUACUCUAAUACAGUGGGCUAAUGACGGUACCUGAAGAAUAAGCACCGGCUAACUACGUGCCAGCAGCCGCGGUAAUACGUAGGGUGCAAGCGUUAAUCGGAAUUACUGGGCGUAAAGCGUGCGCAGGCGGUUAUAUAAGUCAGAUGUGAAAUCCCCGGGCUCAACCUGGGAACUGCAUUUGAGACUGUAUGGCUAGAGUGUGUCAGAGGGGGGUAGAAUUCCACGUGUAGCAGUGAAAUGCGUAGAUAUGUGGAGGAAUACCGAUGGCGAAGGCAGCCCCCUGGGGAUAACACUGACGCUCAUGCACGAAAGCGUGGGGAGCAAACAGGAUUAGAUACCCUGGUAGUCCACGCCCUAAACGAUGUCUACUAGUUGUCGGGACUUAAUUGUCUUGGUAACGCAGCUAACGCGUGAAGUAGACCGCCUGGGGAGUUACGGUUGCAAGAUUAAAACUUAAAUUGAUUGACGG